GAAAUAACUUCUUAUCAGGGCAAAUAACCUACAAUUUUUUUAUGUUUAUUAACAUUGCCAUCUGUUCCUGUACAUGCUGCCAUUUUCAAUUCUAUUCUAUCUCUAAUACUUUUUAAGAAAAAUGCAAAUAAAAAAAGUGCUUCAAGGGGAUAUAACUCUCAAAGGGGAUGAUGAAAUCCUACACAGCCUCAUCUGGUAAUACGUCAUAAUGAGAUCUAUCGAUGGUCAAUAUUUGGUCUUGAUGACUUCAAUAGAAACGGGGGGAGGGCAUGUCAAAAAAAUGUUGGAAGAAAAAAAAACAUUAGAAAAACAAUAAGGUCUUUCCCAGGUAGGGGAAAGACCUUAAAUACCAUUUUACAUAUGAAAAACACGCAAAUUUACAUUCCCAG
rnacentral:lncRNA from 1 species